AAGUGAACGCAGCCAUGUUGGUGCCUUUGCUUACGUAUUUGAUGACGUACUUGAUUGCUCUGACGCUGUUGCACACUUCGUCGUUGAUGUGACAUUGGAACAUGUCGCAUAGUGUAACCACCUUCAUCGGGAGAGUGAUGACGAUAAAGUUGAUAUCCGUCAUUGGAGCAUUGAGUUUCACGGCAGAAAUUUUUUGGAAAGUGCUUCGAGCAGUAGUUGUCAACCAUGCAAGGCGAAUUGUUGUUGAGGCGUCCGCAUGGUCCGUGGAUCAUGUUGGCCAUGACAAUUUUGUGGAGUUGCGGAUUGGUUUCUUUUUCAGCUAACCAAAUUAAAAUGUGAGCGCAGGGAAGGCCUCUUUUCUGCCAUUCAAUGGAGCAGACAUAAGCGAUCACAUCUCCAAAAAUUCGGCAAUU